rnacentral:rRNA from 1 species
GUAGGGAAUAUUGCGCAAUGGGGGAAACCCUGACGCAGCGACGCCGCGUGAGUGAUGAAGGCCUUCGGGUCGUAAAGCUCUGUUGAAUGGGAAGAAAAAAAUGACGGUACCAUUCGAGGAAGGACCGGCUAACUUCGUGCCAGCAGCCGCGGUAAUACGAGGGGUCCUAGCGUUGUUCGGAAUCAUUGGGCGUAAAGGGUGUGUAGGUGGCCAUGUAAGUCAGGUGUGAAAGCCCCGGGCUCAACCCGGGAAGUGCACUUGAUACUGCGUGGCUUGAGUACCGAAGAGGGUAGUGGAAUUCCAGGUGUAGUGGUGAAAUACGUAGAUAUCUGGAGGAACACCGGUGGCGAAGGCGGCUACCUGGUCGAGUACUGACACUGAGACACGAAAGCAUGGGGAUCAAACAGGAUUAGAUACCCGGGUAGUCC